CAGCAACAAAACUAUAGCCCCCUCUAACUUGGAUUAAACCUCUCUCCCUAUUUGGGGGGACCCAAUUCAUUUUUUAAAAAGCAGGGGCUGAAGGUGUGGCACAGAAGUAGUGUGCAUGCUUAGCAUAUACAGGAAAGGCUCUGGGUUCCAUCCCUAGGAAACCUCCUUUGAGGGGGUUUGAGGGGACUAAGAGGUCUGGGAGUGUAUCUUAGUGGUGAGUGCUUGCCUAACACGCAUGAGGCCCAGGGUUCUAUCCCCAGCUAAAUAAAUAGGAAAAUAGAAUAUGUAUUUGAUAUCACUAAAAGGAAAUAUCAAAAUGUCCUUGUGAUAAUACAUACUCAUGGGCAAGUACUUCCAAGGCCAUGAAUCCAGCAUAACAGUGAGGUUUAGUGGAAGUACAUGGUAGCUGGCUACAAGUCAUAGAAGUGGAACUCAAGAAAAUGCCUGUCUUUUUGACAAACUAGUAUGAGUUCUUUCCUUAGUUAAUUAGAACAAUAUUAUAGUGCACUUUUUUUUUUUCUUUGUCAAACAAAAAUAAAAACCACCAAACAAAAAAAUCUCAAACUCAAACAAACAGAGUGAAAACAAGAGACUGGGCAUAACUUCUUUCUCUCUUCCCUAUAAGAUUUACUUAAAAAAAAUUAAUUUUAACUGUGUUAUUUUAAAAAAUAUUCAGGAUAUAUGCAGGAUAUAAAAGAUUAAAAUAAAGUAACUGGAUAAAAUUUGAAACUCUCCAGGUCCACAUUUCUUGGAAUGAUAGAUUUAAAAAAUAUUUUUUUUUCAUUUUCUGAUUACAAAUAUAAUGUACGUGUGCCAGGCCUAAUGGCACAUGCCUGUAAUGCAGCUCUUUGGGAGUCUGAGGCAGCAGGAUCACAAGUUCUAGACCAGCUUCAGGAACUUUGUGAAACCCUGUCUCAAAAUUAAAAAAAGAAAAAAAGGCCAGGGGUGUAGCUAAAUGGUAGAGCACCCCUGGGUUCAAUCCCUAGUACCAAAAUAAUGAUGAUGAUGAUGAUAAUAAUAAUUAUAAUAAUAAUAAUAACAACAACAAUAAUAAUAAUGAUAGAAGACGGGCUUAUAAAAUAAAUAGAGAGAAACUAAAAGGAAUAUAAUAAAUAAGUCCUGCUAACAGGAUUUAUUUCCUUCUCUCUCUCUCUCUCUUUUUUUUAAGAUUAACAUAUGCUGCAUGAUUUUCUACUAUAUCGAUCCUAUUGUCUGGGGGGCAGGAUAGAGAAAUGGGGGGAUUGAACCCAGGGCCUACUGCAUGUGAACUAUAUCACUAAGUUAUAUCCUCAGCCCCAAUAUACUAUAAUUUUAAAAAUAUAUCUAUUAGUGAAAAUUUUGGACAUAACACCUUUUUUUUCCCCCGAAAAUAGCAGUGCAGCAAAUGUGCAUAAUGUACAAAGGUACAUAAUGCUUUUAUGGGGGGUGGGGGGACUGGGGAUUGAACUCAGGGACUCUGGAACAAUAAACCACAUCCCCAGCCCU
rnacentral:lncRNA from 1 species